AAUGUUCAAAAUGUAAUAAAUUAAUGGCUAAAACUGCACAAAUAACCCCAAAAUAAUUUGCAUGAACACUUGAAUACACAAAAAAGAUAAACUGGCAACCUGACCUGGUAACAUUUUCCCAGACGGACUGCCUCUGGUGGUGUCUGGUUUGAAUGAAAAGUGAUAACCCAUUUCUGCAGAAAAGCAUUUAGAGUAUUUGCCUAUUGAGAUAUCUCAUAAUCGCUUGUGCACCAGAGAGACGCUGCAAUCAAAGCAUGGAGAAGAACCACACGACAACAGUUAUACUACCAAAUUAUUAUACUACCAAAAUGUAAAUAUUAAUCCUUUCAUAAACAUUCUAAGAGACCACUGCGUGAGGCCUCUGAACACUUUCUAAAACAAUCAUUCCAAAUAUUCUGUGCCUGCUACCUUCAACCUGUGUGGAACUUCAUAAAUGCAAACCGAAUUUCAGCAUCUUAUAUUUUUUACUCUGGAACAAACAGAACAAACACAAAGACAAUAAAGUGGAGUCAAGAGAGCACACUUCAAGUUCCCCCCAGAAUGACACAUUAACAAGAAGCAAUCGCGGCUCACAGCAAAUCACUUGAGAUUCUCGCAUGUCACAUAAAACAAACACAAUAACAAUGUCUAAAACCCAGAUAUUAUAUCACAAGAGUUUUUGGCACAAUAUACAAAGAGUUUUACCUUGCAAUGUUGUGCCAUUGUUUUCUACAUCUCCUAGUGAGCUGCCCAUGUUAGAUUAAAGAAUAUUUCAUUAAAGUAGGGCACUUGUUUGAUUCCCCCCCUCCCCCCCCAAAACAGCUCUAAAUAGUGAACCUGCUGGUGGAAGAUGUCCUCCACUUGACUGUGUAUUUCAUUUUAAAAACUGUGUGUGUCUCUGAGGUUUGUAGGAUGCUGAAGACGUUGGAUGCCAAAAAAAAUCGGUCGGUCCUGAUCAUUUGGAUACACUUUUUUAAAGUUGACUGCAGAUCUGAUUGCUGAGUCUUUAACUUGUAUUUUUAAUUUGAGCCAAAUACCCCCGUCACACAUAGCUGGAAUCACGUAGAAUGGCGUUGGACUUAUGAACGGCCGCACAUCCGAAUUUCAGUCCAAAACGUUCUGACAGCCAUCUGCGGAAGUCCACACAGUUGGUGGAAAACACAGUUGGUCAAAUCGGCCGGUGGCCUGAGUGUGACAAACAUGUUCGAAACUCUCUCGGCGCUGUCAAGAUGGGACACCUAUCCGACGGCGGUCUGAUCACCAUCUGACUGAAAUGAUCUGAGCACAUAUGACUGAACGUCAAGAUGGAUCGGGCAUAGCAAAUCUGUGGAAUGACCUGCACA